UUGGAAAUCGAGUCUAUUAUUAAGGGUUAUGUACUUAAAGAUUGCCAAACCACAGUAGAGGUUGAAAAACUAGCACUUCUGAUACCAGUUCAAACUUAAACUAAAGACUCUUUCGAAAGCAAGCACAGAAAAGACAAAGAACUCACCAUGAGUUCCAAGGGUGUCUGUUCGAAAAGCAGAGCACGUUUUCUUGUCCUUGAAACACCCAAACAGUCUUAUGUGUAGUAUAAAAAAGUUUCGACCUCUUCCUUCGGAACGCUAUACAAUAAUAGCCCAACAACGCCCUUCAGUUUUUAAUCCAGAUCUAAAUAGUGUCACUGUAAGAAAUCUACUUCACUCUAAGAGAAGCCGCCUGUUGGAAUUACGUGAUACUCGCUCUGAAUGCCCAUGUGGUAGCUGCAGCUCGUGUCUUUCUGGACAUCAGUAUUCAACCAUGUGUCACGUUCCAUUUGGCGGUUUACCUUUUCAAGCUACUCCAGGAAUCAAGUUAAAACUUCUUCAUGAAGCCGAUGUACGCGUGUGUAAAGUGGUUCAUUCGAGGAAUGUGGUACGAAAACUUCUUGGCACAAAGUUUCUCCCCAAGUGGGAGAAUCAUCACCUUUUCUUCACCGACACCGAAAUCUUAUCUCGAAGCUCCACUGGUUUCAUGGAAGAACCCAUUCCCUAUUCUCAGAUUGAAGAAAUCCAUUGUCUCCCUAUCCGGGCGUCUUCACAGAAGAUAUGUAUCCGAAUCGUGAUUCCAAGUGGUUCUGUGGUGCUGCGGGUCAGCAAUACUUAUGUACGAGAUCAAUGGCUACAUUCUCUCUUUUGGAAGAGAACCAUGCUUCGUCACCAGAAGCUGCUCAGCCAAACCGAAAGAUGCGACGUACUAUUGAAGGAACUAAAGAGUCUUGUGGAUCUAGCUUUGUCCACCCCACUUCAGGGAGAAAGUAUCUUCGAGACUCCAUUAAAUAUCAUCUCAAGUCUUAUGAAAAAGGACCAAAAACAGCUUCCACUAUCUUCUAGAGAAACUGUAAUCAGUAUCGUGGCGCCCUUAUUAGAACGUGCAAGUCCUUCUGAUGAAAUCUGCGAGUUUCUAUGUUGGCACUGUAAGGAAAGCCCUGGCUCCUACGUCAUUGUAAAAGUGCUGCCAUCUAUCGUACAACGAAUUCUUAAACACUCAGUGGAUUUCGGAAAACAUCCGAAAAGACGUCUUUUGGUACAAGCUUACAUAGAAGCCUUAUAUUUCCAGAGCGACGGUGUUGAAGGUGUUCAGGAUUUUGUUCGAAGUGUGCACGGCCCAUCAAGUUUGUGUCCACAUCCCCGGCUCAUGCCCAACCUGGUUUCAACAUCUCUUGCAGCAGUGUAUUCUUUGUUUGAAGAGAAAAAAAGGUCUCAAGAAGAAAAUUUAAACAACGAGUUAUACGAUACGCUAUCUUGGGAAUCUCAAUACCAGUGCUUUCUUACAGUUUUCCAAACAAUUGCUUUAUUUGAAGAUUGGAGACCGGGUUUAGCGGAGCUUCUGCAGCCUAUACCCUUUCAUCCCGAUGCUCUGGAAUGCAGAAAGUUUACAAAAAACUUCCAGCCUGUUAUAGAAGAAAUUUGUAAAGACUCCAGAUGCGAAGUUCAUAUCACACUUUUAGGAAUUCGUGAUGGGAAAGAUGGUUGGUUUCAAAUUUAUUGCCCAGAAAGUAUAGCGUGUGAUGAUGGUGGGGAUCUCUGGAGCCUUAUUCUAAAACGGUUGCUUGGGUGUUGUUGUCGAAGAAAGCGAUUUAUUCACAUUUUAAACAAACACUUAGAGUCCUGCAUGCUCAGAGCCCUGCGAGAAGACGAAACUUGUCAAAAAGCUUUGUCCACAAUAGUAGAAAUGGACAUGGUAGAAAACCCUGAUACGAAACUUGAGAUAAUAGCAACUCUUCAAAGCACCCCUUCAGGCAGGAAACAAUAUGCUGCCCUGUGUCAGAGAGAGAAGCAUUUAAGAGAGUUUCAACGGAAAGAAGGGCCACGAAAGCUUGUUCUGCCACCAAAAUCAACAGACCUCUGGAAGAAGAAUCAUGCAAGGGUUAGGAAGACAAAGGAUGGGAAACCUGAAUUGAAGCAGGAAUAGGAGCAGGUUGAGAUAAAUGAGCAACCAAAGAAGAAAGAGCUAAGUAUUGCCUUGCAGAUUUCACAUGACUCCAAAGAUUCAGGGAUAUCUCCAAAAAUAGAUCUAUGCAGAAAAGGGGACAUCCAUAGUCGUGUAGAUAAAUGGAGGACAGGUGAAACUGAGACAAGAAAGCAUUCCUACCCAGGAGAUCCCAGCAGCAAAGAAGCCACGUGUAAAGGGAUAGGGCAGAGAAGAACAAUCAUUUAAUGUGGAGGAAAUUAGGGUGUGUGUAUCCUAUAGAAGAAAAGUACCAAAGAUACAAGUAAAGGCAAGAUGAAAGUAGGAAAACUCACAGAACUCUCAGGGUCAGCCCCCACACAGACAGAAGGGACUCGAGCUGACGAGAGUCCAGAAAAGGAAAACCAGUCUGAUGGUAAGCCAAGUCAUAAAUAUAUGAAGCCCAUGGGGUCGGGGUAUGCUGACCCCUACCCUCAAUUGAGAGAGGAAAUUAUCAGCAUAGACCCUGAUAUCUGGAGAAGGAGGAAACAUAAGGUACCCAGACAGUGAGGCAGGAUCAUAUGAAACUGGGGAUACAAAUAAAAAGUAACAUACUUGAGAAAUCAUAUUCGAGAAGGCUGAGGGGCCUGGCUGAUUCCUCAGGAAAGGUAUUGGGUUGCACAGCAAAGGAGGGUGGGGUGAAGAAAACAGGCUGUUAAAAUUAUCGUCAUCAUGAAUUGGUUCUACUGGUAUCAGAAGCAUCUGGAUAGGGUCAGGAGAAGAGGAGUGACCCAUGUAAAGUUCAAUCUCCUGACAAACUAAAGCCAAGAUAUCCUCAGCAGAGACCUCCAUACCCGAAGCCUGUGUCACGAUAUUCGAAGUAUUAGUUAGAGUAGAAGACGUGACAUGAAAUUCGGAAUUCACAUUCGAAUGUAAACGAGUUCAGAAUCCAAGAAAAAGGACAGUGACUUACAUCAAUUGCUGAGCUCUGGUCCUUUUGGAAACUUGGAAUGGUUGUCUCUUGCUUUUAC
rnacentral:misc_RNA from 1 species